rnacentral:rRNA from 1 species
CGGGACGGGUGAGUAACGCGUGGGUAACCUACCCUGUACACACGGAUAACAUACCGAAAGGUAUGCUAAUACGGGAUAAUAUAUUUGAGAGGCAUCUCUUGAAUAUCAAAGGUGAGCCAGUACAGGAUGGACCCGCGUCUGAUUAGCUAGUUGGUAAGGUAACGGCUUACCAAGGCGACGAUCAGUAGCCGACCUGAGAGGGUGAUCGGCCACACUGGGACUGAGACACGGCCCAG